rnacentral:tRNA from 2 species
GGAACUGUGCCUGAAUUAAAGGACCACUUUGAUAGAGUGAACCAUGGGGGUUAAACUCCCCCCAGCUCCU